AUUUUCUGUUGCAGUUUUUUGUCUUGUUUUAACAUGAAAUUUUUAAGAAAAUAAUACCUCAAUCUGAAAAGUGGUGUUCAAGAAUAUGGAUUUUCGGACUUCAUUUUGAAAUCUGAAUGUGGAGCCCAAAUUAUCAAACUGCCUCACUAAGCAAUCAGAGAUUAAACUUCUCUCUUGGAUGGCAGCUUGUUGCACCAGAAGAGAAGGUACUGAAGCUAACAGAAAUUCCACCCAGCUAAUAUGUAACACUUGUUUGUCAUCUCUAAUCCUCAGAGCGCUCUGCAAAUUGUCCUUCUUUCAUCCUAUAAAGGAAGAACCAGAGAGAUAAAGAGAUACGGUUGUGUAUCAAGGGCUCAGAGUGGGCCAAAGGCAGUGCCCAGCCUCCUCGGCCUGGUGCUGUGGCCUGGUCACUAGCGCUGUGUUCCUCCUCCAUCUCCAUGGGCACACAAACACCCUUAGCAAGUUCAUCAGCUUCCUCCAUAGUGCUGUGUGUUUCUAGUUCAUAUGUGUGCAUAUUCUCAUGCUUUCUCUGACUGGAAGAAUAAGGAAGAAAUCCCUUCAAUUUUCAAGAUGAGAAAGUGGAGCAUUAUAGUAAAAUUAGUGCCGGGAGGAGCAUUUAUCCCUCUGUGACCUUUCGCUGUUAUCUUUAAAUGAGCAGCUCCUCUCCCUCCAUUCUUAGUGCCUGUUCAAAGAAUCAGUUCAGACUGAUUCAAGCACUUGUGCAGGCAGCAGCCAGACAAAUACAUCACGAUCAUCUCAGCUGCAAGUGCUGCUUAAGUCACAGGGUGCUGAGACGUGAAAGGCUCUGUCCUGAACAAGGGACAUGUUCGUUUCUUUCUUCUCCUCCUGUGUACUGGAGGGGUAAGUCUAACUGAUUAUCAUUUAUGUAUGGAAUAAGGAGUCUGAGCUUUUCAUAAGUCAUGUAGCAAUUUAACUGUCUGAGCUGUGAAUUUUUACAACUCAUUUAAUUGUGCUGUUUAAAUUGAUGUGUGGUUUUACUGCCAUGAAGGUGUUUUUCACUGUCUCUGUUUUGCCUUCUGUUAAGUAAAACAUAAGCUAUGCAGAUACAACACCAGCCACACUGGAGAAGUGCAGCUUUAACUUUAGACAUGUAGUCAGGUCAGCACAACUUUGUCGUAAACAAUGCCUGCAUUGCACAGCCCUGACUAGAUUACUCACUUUUUCACAAGGUCUGCCUACAGAAUAUGCACAACCAGUGUAGCUAGUUGUGUUUUAAUAAAUAAUAAUAAUAGGUGUCUAAUUACAGCAGCCAGUCUAUGCAAUUUCCUGUGGGCCUCUCGCAGGGCAAUGAUGCGUUCCGUGCCUCACCACGCAGCCACAAUGGCAAUCUAUGUCAUGUCAGAGCUGUGGACUGCUGGCAACUGAGCACUGUCCAUCUAGAACAAAAAUCAUUGUCUGCAACUGCUAUCAAGGGCUCAGCCAGAUCAAAGAGAGCAAAAAUCCAUGGAAAAGCAACAGAACUGAUUGCUUUCCCUAACCCUUCUCAACCAGAACAUUAACUGAGAUUCUGCAGAGAAACUGACUGCCUGCAUUUUUGGAUCUAGAUGAUUUGCGUUUGCAGUGCCUAGGCCGGAGGAGGCUGGAGGAAAAUGGGCACUCCUCAUGGAAAGACAGAAGAUGCAGUGACAGCAGGUACACGACUGAGAGACAGAGAGCUCACAUGAGAUAAUGACCAGAUAAUUUAGACAGUGCUGUGACCCAGAGGUUUUCAGGAGUCACCCAACCUUUAACACCAGUUACAGUAGUGUCCGGCUUCUCUGAGCUGGAGAAAGAGGAGAAAGAGAAGGAGAUGCCUCCUGCCCUGAUGAGACCUUUCCAUCCUGCUAUAUGGGCUCAACAGAGAGACGAAUGACUUGGGAAUGUGGCCCAACCUUUCAGUGGUUUUGGAGCUCACCUGGCAAAGACCAUCUUUUCAGCUGUGCCAGAUAUGUAUUUUAAGUAGCUAUUGAUUAAAAUAUAAAAUGUGCCCUUGCAGAGUAUCUAGGACACAGCCACCUGCGCUGCUGCCAAAAUACUUGAUCUGCCAGGCUCCAGGGACUCAUUGUUCAGCCUCUCCAGUCUCUUACACAACAGAGGGACCAAGUGGCAGAAGCUCCCUGUGUCCAGCCCCAAGCUGGGUUUAUUGGGAAGAUAAACCCAAUGAUUUUCUGGGAGGUGUGGUUUUUUUUCCCAUGAAUCUUUACUUUUUUCUGUGAUUAUUCUGAAGGUUGUACAAAGAGGGACCUUCUCAGGUAAUGCCACAAUGUAAACAGAUCCUGGAAUAUGUUAAUCACUGGAAGGUACCUACUGUUAAUCCAAAUGUAUAUUGUUCCAUAUAAGACAACAAAGAGUAUCUAUUGGCUGGUUUGCUCUUAGCUGACUUUUUGAGCCUUUAAGCCUUUUCUCCUUUGGAACUUACCAUAGAUGAAUAUUUCCUUAUCUUCACUUGUGAGUAAUAUUGUCUCCCACAUCUAUUAUUUUCUGUUAACCUAACUAAAACAAACACAAGCUGUCCACAAUCAGUAGCUCAUACUUGCUGAGCUGCUAGCUGUGUUGUCUUUUCUUUUCCCUUAAAGCUGCCUUAUAUGGUCUGUUAAACAGUCUCAUCCUUUGUAAUACUUAGGCCUAGGAGCUAAGAUUAAACGGUGGGUACAAAAACAGGUCCAGCACCUCUGCAACCUGACUAAAGUUUACUCGGGGAAGGAAACACAGCCCAUUCUGGGUAGAUGUAGUGAAAAUCAAUGGUACUGGGGAAUAAAAUCAGUGGAUUGAAAGAGAUUUAAAUGACUCUAAUGAAGUGCUUUUAGUUUGAUAAUGUAUUCUGAAAAGUCACUUUUGUUCCAUGAUAAGGUGGGAGCUAUAUGUUAAUUUCUUUUAUUCCUGGAUCAUUUUCUCUCUGAGGUGUCAUCAGUUGAAUUUUCAGUACUACAUUGAGAUGAAUAUUCAUCACAGAGUCGGAGCUUUUGAAAGAACUGCAGGGAAAAAAAAGACACUGCAAAAGCCCCACACCCUUCGCUUCCUUCCCUCUGCACCAGCUCUGUGCUGUCAGGGAUGCUCUCAUAGCUCUCCAGGUAUCCCUGGGUGGCUGCAGCAGAGCAGCAGAGCCCAGGGGAGCACCUCAGCAGGGCUAAAGGGAAAUGCUGGCUGCGGGCAACUCAUCCCGCCUGCCAUGGGAUGAGAAGUGUUGAUUUAGAGAGAAGAUUGCCACUGUGUUAAGAACACUUCUGGGCUUUUAUUGAAUCUUAAGACCAAUUCUUCAAAUUUGUCUCAAUAGGAGAGUGUGGAGUUUUAGGCCCAAAGAGGAAGAAAAAGGUUGUAUGUGAUGCCACCUAGUGGUAAAAACAGUAAUAAUGUCUGCGAGAAUGGAUGUUUCUGGGAUAUAUAGAGGAAAUCUAUGAUCCCUGCAACCCCUGAGUGUCAUUCAGCGUGGCUGUGUAUCACACUGUUGUACCACAACGAUCUGGAGACUCAGCUGGAGGUCCAGCUUCAGCCUCACUCAACACAGCAGAACCCAGCCCUUGGUCCAGCUCUGGGUAUAUAUAUGUGACAGGGGAAGUGGCCGCUUCACAAGGGUGGGGACAGGAACCACCUGGCUCUGAGGACUACAUGAGCAUGACACCAAAUGGGAUGGUCCUGAAGAUGAAGGAAAUGAAAUCGCUGGUGGAUGUGUACCUGUAAUGUGCUCCAAAGCCUGCAUUGCUUUGGUCUCUGUGUAGCUGGAAGCUGUUGCUUAUCUCUGGGGAGACCUCACUGUGGCCUUCCAGUACUUGAAGGGAGUGUAUAAACAGGAAGGGGAAUGGCUGUUUA